UACGUAGGGUGCGAGCGUUGUCCGGAAUUAUUGGGCGUAAAGAGCUCGUAGGCGGUCUGUCGCGUCUGCUGUGAAAACCCGAGGCUCAACCUCGGGCCUGCAGUGGGUACGGGCAGACUAGAGUGCGGUAGGGGAGAAUGGAAUUCCUGGUGUAGCGGUGAAAUGCGCAGAUAUCAGGAGGAACACCGGUGGCGAAGGCGGGUCUCUGGGCCGAUAUUGACGCUGAGGAGCGAAAGCGUGGGGAGCAAACAGG
rnacentral:rRNA from 1 species